rnacentral:rRNA from 1 species
GAUGAACGCUGGCGGCGUGCCUAAUACAUGCAAGUCGAACGCUGGAGAUCUAGCUUGCUAGAUCGAAGGAGUGGCGAACGGGUGAGUAAUACAUAAGCAACCUACCCACGAAGACUGGGAUAAUCUCUGGAAACGGGGACUAAUACCGGAUAGGUAAUCGGAAGGCAUCUUCUGGUUAUUAAAGGUUAAAAACACUGGUGGAUGGGCUUAUGGCGCAUUAGUUAGUUGGUGAGGUAACGGCCCACCAAGACGAUGAUGCGUAGCCGGCCUGAGAGGGUGAACGGCCACAUUGGGACUGAGACACGGCCCAGACUCCUACGGGAGGCAGCAGUAGGGAAUGUUCGGCAAUGGGGGCAACCCUGACCGAGCAACGCCGCGUGAGUGAAGACGGCCUUCGGGGUGUAAAGCUCUGUUGUAAGGGAAGAACGGUAGAUAGAGAAUAUCUAAGUGACGGUACCUUACCAGAAAGCCACGGCUAACUACGUG